CUUAAUAUAUGCAAAGAAUAUGGGUAUAAAAUUCUUUUAUGAGUUUUCAUUGAUCUUACCAUAUAUUCUAAUACUGUUGUCCAUCAUUAGAUUUCAUCGAUGGCCAUUUAUUUGGGGAUUUCUGCCAGCUAUAACUCUUUGCAACUCAAUAUACAUUUAAAAUUUUACUUGAUAAUGAAUUUCAUCACCAAAGAUCAAACUUCUUAUGACACCAAAAUAAUGUGACCUAGAAUAAAGAAGUCAUAGCUUUAGAGGAGGCAAGAAGAUAUAGAAAUCCACACACUUUGGGCCUUGGAUGCCAUGUAGUGCCUAUUCUUUCAUAUCAUGUAGAUAGGACUAGAAAGAGGAUAAUGUGAGAACUUCUUGGUUUACAGAAGGAUGCAAAGAUGGACCAAGACCCCCUUUUUACUAGGACUAGUUUUGGGCAUACACAGUGCAGGCUAAAUGAAAACUAAAAUAGAAUGUUAUAAAUACUCAAAACAAACAGCAGAACAAAUGCAAGCAUUAAAUGCCCACUUGGGCUACCUGCUCAUUGUUAGGAUGAAUGACACCAUCAUCCAAGUCAUUUCUUUUCUCUCUUUUUUUUGGGGUACAGGAUCCACACAUGACACACAUAUGUAUAUAUAAAGCCACUUGGAUGGUAGGAGUGAGAGGUUGGAAAUUGGUAUCAGUUACUGUAUAAGGUGGGAUCUUCUAGCAAUCGGAUUCUGCUGUUAUUGUCACUUUAAUUGUUGGACAGGGAUGGAAUUUUGGUGGAAAGAAAGAUACUGGAAGAGGAUUCAUGUAGAAUAGGGGAGGCAGGGGUCGAUAUUGGGAAAGUACAGGCUUUCUCUUUGUUUUGCAUUCUUGAAUUUAUUGGAAUUGUGUUACUUGAGUUUGAACUGGUGAUGAGAUUCCUGAUUUAGAAAGGUUUUGUAUUCUGCCUUGAAUUAGGUUGGAUAGAAUUAAAUUCUUAUUUUAACACAUUUCGAGCCAUGGAAUGAAGUGGAAUGGGAAACUUAUGUCCAUAUUGGGGGGGGGGGAAAAAAAAUCGUUUCAUUAUAAAAUAAUAUAAACAAUAGAAGUCAAAUAAAAAACUAUGAAUAAUUAAAAGAAGUGUGUACUAUCACUUGAUCGUUAUACUAGCCUUGUGAUGUUGCAUGUGGGGUCAACAAUAGAAGAUUCAAAAUUGAAAAGGCUCCAUUGGAAGGAUUUAGUAGUACAACAGGUUGUCAACUUGACUCCUUUUUUUGGAAAUUGGUGCCAAAUUCCUGGCUUGGGCAGAUUCAAGAAAGGUCUAUAUCAUAAAACUUAUUAGCCUAGUUGGUGGUUAGAGAGACCUAUAUUGUUUGCAAUUUAAGGUCAUCAACCAAGAAGUAACCUUCUGUUCAGAAAUUCCCUUAGACUUGGAAAGACUCUAGGAGAAAGAGAUAAUGAUUAUGUGUUGAAUAACUUUACCUUAAGAAUGAAACUGUGCCCUCUAGGAAAUUAAAUUUGCACAGUAAAUGAUAAUAUCUACUUGCUUGAAUUUAGUAGUUCUCCAAAUAAUAAGGAAUGCUACAAGCACACAAGUUAGUUUAUAUAUAGUAUUUAUUGUUAUACAUGGUAUAUAUCAAGGUCUGCCAUAUCGCCCCAAACUGCUUGAUUUGGGCGUAUUGAGCCGUAUUGGAGUCUGACCGGUGCUAUUCCAGCCCUCGGUUCGAGAAAUCGGCGAGGGAAGGGGAGAGGGAGAAGGAGAGAGAGGAAAAUAGAGAGGGAGGGAGAGGGAGG
rnacentral:lncRNA from 1 species